rnacentral:rRNA from 1 species
AGAACGAACGCUGGCGGCAUGCCUAACACAUGCAAGUCGAACGCUUACGAGGGUUUCGGCCCUUGUGGGAGUGGCGCACGGGUGAGUAGCGCGUGGGAACCUGCCCCUUUGUGGGGGAUAACCGAGGGAAACUUCGGCUAAUACCGCAUGCGCCCCGGAGUGAUCCGGGGGAAAGAUUUAUCGCAGAGGGAGGGGCCCGCGUCGGAUUAGCUAGUUGGUGGGGUAACGGCCUACCAAGGCGAUGAUCCGUAGCUGGUCUGAGAGGAUGAUCAGCCACACUGGGACUGAGACACGGCCCAGACUCCUACGGGAGGCAGCAGUGGGGAAUAUUGGACAAUGGGCGAAAGCCUGAUCCAGCAAUGCCGCGUGAGUGAUGAAGGCCUUAGGGUUGUAAAGCUCUUUUACCAGGGAUGAUAAUGACAGUACCUGGAGAAUAAGCUCCGGCUAACUCCGCGCCAGCAGCCGC